rnacentral:tRNA from 1 species
CCUUCAAUAGCUCAGUUGGUAGAGUGGAGGACUGUAGGUCCUUAGGUCGCUGGUUCGACUCCGGCUCGAAGGA